AUUGAACGCUGGCGGCGCGCCUAAUACAUGCAAGUCGAGCGAGAAGACGUAGCAAUACGUUUGUAAAGCGGCGAACGGGUGAGGAAUACAUGGGUAACCUACCCUCGAGUGGGGAAUAACUAGCCGAAAGGUUAGCUAAUACCGCGUACGCUCCUUGGACUUCGGUUCAGGGAGGAAAGCGAUACCGUGGGUAUCGCGCUCUUGGAUGGGCUCAUGUCCUAUCAGCUUGUUGGUGAGGUAACGGCUCACCAAGGCUUCGACGGGUAGCUGGUCUGAGAGGACGAUCAGCCACACUGGCACUGCGACACGGGCCAGACUCCUACGGGGAGGCAGCAGUAAGGAAUAUUGCGCAAUGGGCGAAAGCCUGAC
rnacentral:rRNA from 1 species